AUGUCUAAGUAUAAGCAAUUUGUACAGUGAAACUGCGAAUGGCUCAUUAAAUCAGUUAUCGUUUAUUUGAUAGUACCUUUGCUACUUGGAUAACCGUGGUAAUUCUAGAGCUAAUACAUGCUAAAAAUCCCGACCCCUGGAAGGGAUGUAUUUAUUAGAUAAAAAACCAAUGGCCUUCGGGCUCCUUGGUGAUUCAUGAUAACUUAACGAAUCGCAUGGCCUUGUGCCGGCGAUGGUUCAUUCAAAUUUCUGCCCUAUCAACUUUCGAUGGUAGGAUAGUGGCCUACCAUGGUUUCAACGGGUAACGGGGAAUUAGGGUUCUAUUCCGGAGAGGGAGCCUGAGAAACGGCUACCACAUCCAAGGAAGGCAGCAGGCGCGCAAAUUACCCAAUCCCGACACGGGGAGGUAGUGACAAUAAAUACUGAUACAGGGCUCUUUUGGGUCUUGUAAUUGGAAUGAGUACAAUUUAAAUCCCUUAACGAGGAACAAUUGGAGGGCAAGUCUGGUGCCAGCAGCCGCGGUAAUUCCAGCUCCAAUAGCGUAUAUUAAAGUUGUUGCAGUUAAAAAGCUCGUAGUUGAACCUUGGGUCUGGCUGGCCGGUCCGCCUCACCGCGUGCACUGGUCCGGCCGGAUCUUUCCUUCUGGCUAGCCGCAUGCCCUUCACUGGGUGUGUCGGGGCACCAGGACUUUUACUUUGAAAAAAUUAGAGUGUUCAAAGCAGGCAUAUGCUCGAAUACAUUAGCAUGGAAUAAUAGAAUAGGACGUGCGGUUCUAUUUUGUUGGUUUCUAGGACCGCCGUAAUGAUUAAUAGGGAUAGUCGGGGGCAUCAGUAUUCAAUUGUCAGAGGUGAAAUUCUUGGAUUUAUUGAAGACUAACUACUGCGAAAGCAUUUGCCAAGGAUGUUUUCAUUAAUCAGUGAACGAAAGUUAGGGGAUCGAAGACGAUCAGAUACCGUCGUAGUCUUAACCAUAAACUAUGCCGACUAGGGAUCGGGCGAUGUUCUUUUUCUGACUCGCUCGGCACCUUACGAGAAAUCAAAGUCUUUGGGUUCU
rnacentral:rRNA from 1 species